rnacentral:lncRNA from 1 species
GCCAAGCAUUACAACUCUGGCUACUGCUUUGUCAGUGAAGAGAUGGUAGUCUUUUGGGAACCAGUUGGAAGAAUCUAUCAGGAAGUAAGCUUGUGCAGUAAUGGGCUCUCAAUGAAAUAAUUCCAGUCAGACCAGAAAUCUUUCUGGUGAGUAUAAAGCAUUCUACCUCUGAAAUAUGUUUUGGUCUAAAUAACUGAGUUCCUACUCAGCAGUAAUGGUCUACCAUGAGAGAGUACCAUUUUUACCAGAAACGAGUCUCCCAAACAGCUUAUAGAUAAAAUACCCCCCCCCCCGGAAUUUGCCUGGAAUUUGAAUUCCUCAGAAUCAUCCACACUGAGUUAAUAAUUAAAAGUUCCUCAUACUGUUUGUUUGUUUCACCUGUGUACAGGAUUCCAGUUUCACAAAAUCCUCCCAACAGAAUUAUUCAACCUGGUGUCAAAGAAAGGUCUACCUAUUCCAGCAACCCAAGGGCAAGUCUCUGCUAGCUCAGGAAGAAAAGAGGUGGGAGGCUGAAGAAGCC